UACAGAGGUGGCGAGCGUUGUCCGGAUUUACUGGGUGUAAAGGGCGUGUAGGCGGUCUCUCAAGUCCGAUGCUAAAGACCGAAGCUCAACUUCGGGGGUGCGUUGGAUACUGUGAGGCUAGACGGUCGGAGAGGGUAGCGGAAUUUCCGGAGUAGCGGUGAAAUGCGCAGAUACCGGAAGGAACGCCAAUAGCGAAAGCAGCUACCUGGACGAUUUGUGACGCUGAGGCGCGAAAGCGUGGGGAGCAAACAGG
rnacentral:rRNA from 1 species